rnacentral:rRNA from 1 species
GCUAGCUGGUCUGAGAGGAUGAUCAGCCACACUGGGACUGAGACACUGCCCAGACUCCUACGGGAGGCUGCAGUCGAGGAUCAUUUGCAAUGCGCGGAAGCGUGACAAUGCGACGCUGCGUGGAGGAUGACUGCCUUCGGGUUGUAAACUCCUGUCAUGAGGGAAAAACGACAUGGCUGCUAAUACCAGUCGUGAGUGAUGGUACCUCAAGAGGAAGCCACGGCUAACUCUGUGCCAGCAGCCGCGGUAAUACAGAGGUGGCGAGCGUUGUUCGGAUUUACUGGGCGUAAAGGGUGCGUAGGUGGUCUCGUGUGUCGGAUGUGAAAGCCCACGGCUCAACCGUGGAAUGGCAUCCGAAACUGCGGGACUAGAGUCCAGGAGAGGAGAGCGGAACUCUUGGUGUAGCGGUGAAAUGCGUUGAUAUCAAGAAGAACACCGGUGGCGAAGGCGGCUCUCUGGAAUGGUACUGACACUGAGGCACGAAAGCUGGGGGAGCAAACAGGAUUAGAUACCCUGGUAGUCCCAGCCGUAAACGGUGCGCACUUGGUGUGGGCGGUAUUGACCCCGCCCGUGCCGGAGCUAACGCGUUAAGUGCGCCGCCUGGGGAGUACGGCCGCAAGGCUAAAACUCAAAGAAAUUGACGGGGGCCCGCACAAGCGGAGGAGCAUGUGGCUUAAUUCGAUGCAACGCGAAGAACCUUACCUGGGCUUGACAUAUAGCUGCAAGCCCCCUGAAAGGGGGGCCGCCUUCGAGGGUGCUAUACAGGUGCUGCAUGGCUGUCGUCAGUUCGUGCCGUGAGGUGUUGGGUUAAGUCCCGCAACGAACGCAACCCCUGUGUCUAGUUGCCACCGGCGGUGAUGUGCCGCCGAGCACUUUAGACAGACUGCCCGUACAAGCGGGAGGAAGGUGGGGACGACGUCAAGUCAGUAUGGCCCUUACGCCCAGGGCUGCACACGUGCUACAAUGGCCGGUCCAAUGGGACGCAAUAUCGCGAGGUGGAGCAAAUCCCCAAAACCGGCCCCAGUUCGGAUUGGAGUCUGCAACUCGACUCCAUGAAGCCGGAUUCGCUAGUAACGGCGUAUCAGCUACGGCGCCGUGAAUACGUUCCCGGGCCUUGUACACACCGCCCGUCACAUCAUGAAAGCCGUCUGCACCCGAAGUCGCUGAGCUAACCCGCAAGGGGAGCAGGUGCCGAAGGUGUGGGUGGUGAUUGGGAUGAAGUC